rnacentral:ncRNA from 1 species
UGAAAAUUUUAUUCUUGUUUAAUAAUUUAUUUUUUAACCAUUGUACAUGUAAAUUUAAGUGUGUAUAAAUAGAGAUCUAAAGGGUUAAAAUUUUAUUCGCAGUGUUUAAUAUUAAUUAUUGAAGUAAUUCAGAAUUAGUGAUUUAAAUUUAUAUUGGCUAAAUGCGUGCCAGCUGCUGCGGUUAUACGUGGAAUAUAAAUAAAUUGGUUUAGUGGUUGAAGUUAAUUUUAAUUUAUAAAUUAUAUUAAUAUUAUUUUUGAGGGUGGAAUUUAAUAAAUUAUUAAAAUGUAAUAUUCAUAUAGUGAAGCUUUGAAAAUUUAAUAAUAAACUAGGAUUAGAUACCCUAUUAUAUAAAAUGUAAAUUUAUUAAUUCACUUGAGUAGUAUUAGUUAAGUUCUUGAAACUCAAAGAAUUUGGCGGUUCUUUAGUCUAGUUAGAGGAAUUUGUCCUGUUAUUGAUAGUACGCGUUUUAGUUAACUUAAUUUUGAUAUUCAGUUUGUAUACCUCCGUCAUAAGAAUCUCUUAAAAGAGAAAUUUUCUUAAUUUUAUUACUAUAUAGGAGUAUGUCAGGUCAAGGUGCAGCUUAUAAUUAAGGAGAGAUGAAUUACAGUAAAUAUAUUUAUUACGGAUUUUACUAUGGAAUAAGGUUUGUGAAGGUGGAUUUAAAAGUAAUAUUGUUUUAUUAUGGCAGUAUGAUUUGAGUUCUAAAGUAUGCACACAUCGCCCGUCGCUCUCUCUAUAAGGUGAGAUAAGUCGUAACAAAGUAGAUGUACUGGAAAGUGUAUCUAGAAAGAU